rnacentral:rRNA from 1 species
CCAUGCAGGUGUGACGUGCAGGCGCCAAAUCGUCUGUAGACGACUUAGGUACUGGUCUGGGUGUUGUAAGUAGAAGAGCAGCCACCAUACUGCGAUCUAUUGAGACUCGUCCUCUGACUGGAAGAUUUGUUGGCGCCGCCAACGAAUCGUUUUAUAUUUUUUAAAAUUCGGAAUGCUUCGGUUCUCCUGGGACUUCUAUUUUUUUAUAAAAGUUUCAAUGAUCCAGGGUUUCCCUGGGACUUUGAAAUGAUUCCCCGACUCAUUUGGACGUAACGGGACCAUGGUCGUAACGGGUGACGGGGAAUCAGGGUUCGAUUCCGGAGAGGGAGCCUGAGAAACGGCUACCCCAUCCAAGGAAGGCAGCAGG